UGCUCGGGGUUUUUUGUAUCU
ensembl:piRNA 21ur-1873 ncRNA